UACGUAGGGUGCAAGCGUUGUUCGGAAUUAUUGGGCGUAAAGGGCGCGUAGGCGGCCCUGUGUGUCGGGUGUGAAAGCCCACCUCUUAAAGGUGGAAUUGCAUUCGAAACUACAGGGCUGGAGUGUCGGAGAGGAUGGCGGAAUUCCUGGUGUAGAGGUGAAAUUCGUAGAUAUCAGGAGGAACACCGGUGGCGAAGGCGGCCAUCUGGACGACAACGUGACGCUGAGG
rnacentral:rRNA from 1 species